UCCCAAACAACAAUGGACUUUGGCCCAUUUUCGCCUCCCUUUUUACCCUUGAAAUUCUGUGUAUACGUUUAGCGUAUACCACUGUAUAUGGGCUGUAUUUUGGUCCAUUUUCGUGUAUAUUGGAUUGUAUACCAAGUGUAUACAGCCCUCUUCAAUUCCUGCAACCUGUAUUCCCAUUUUUAAUCCCGUAUUUGUUGGGCUGGACCGUAUAUCAGUGUAUAAAGGUUGUAUCAAGCUGUUUUUUUCCGCUAUCCAGAAUCUGUAAAUUUAAUUUCCAACCCCUAUAUUUCGCAUUCUGCCCUGUACGCCCGGUAAUCUGGCUGACUUAAUAAUGAAAGAGAUUUGAGCCUCUAUGGCUCGAUUCGAGAAUGCGAGGGAAAAGAAAUCCAUUGCGGAUUCGGAGAGGGUUCAUACAAAUAAAAAUAAAAACGAAGUUAGCAUUCGAUUGACUAACAAACGAGGCACAAUUUGGUUGCCAUUAGAAUUAUUUAAGAAAAUCCAAAAUAAAGAAGCCAAGAGUCAAACAACCCCCAACUAAUAGACCACAAUGACAUGUCACUUCUAAAGAAGACAAAAGAAUUAAAUUAACAAACAAACUAUGACACUACACAAUAACACACAUAUACAUUUAUGAAUAUAUUACAUUACAUGGAGUACUUAGCCAUUAACAUACAGUAACUCAAAAUGAUGAGAGGAAACACGUUGCAUAGUCCACAGGUAAUUAUGCUAUAAUCAAAAUUUAACUCUAUCAAUGGAACCUAAUAUUGAUAGUUUAUCACGAUAAAAAUAAACAUAUAUUCAUUGGAGGCAGUAACAUACCAAACCAUUACAUGCAAAGAAAAGAAAGAGACAAGAAAUGAUUGAAUUUCUUCUUAUUAUUAUUAUUUUAAUGAAAGGAGAAAUUUGUGACUCAAAUUUAUCAUGCUGGUCAUUAACACAAACCAACAUGAAAUGAACACAAUAUUCAGAGAGAACAGCACGGUUGAGCAGUAACACCAAACCAAGGACUACAUUAAACGAUAUGUUAUUUUUAGAGCAGAUAUUUUCUGACUAAACAAGGAUGGGAGGAUGACUUGUUGAAAAAUCAAAGUAACAUCGGCUAAAUGACAAUAAACGAUAGACUAAGAGUAAACAUGAUAUCACGAGUUAAAUCGAAGCUAAAUCACUAUCCACGAGAUAUAUAAUCGAGGGGAAGAACAGAGGCAAGUCAUCCAGAUAGCAACUAAUUUCAUAUUGUAUUAACUCAAAGUAAAAAAAAACAGUGGAGGUACCAAGUGACACAUUUCAUGUUGUCCGAAUUUUAACCAAAAUGUUAAACUAUGAAGAGCAGAGCCAACCAAAUUACUAUACGAGUAAAACAAUGAAUCAACCGACACCAUAGCAUACUAAGUAAAAAAAAACUUCACUAACAUUCGACCCCCCUCCAUUCGCUGUCAUUGUUGGAAGGAAGCAAAACUACAGAAAAUUACGCUAACACGAAGAGCCGAAUGCAACUAAAACAGAACUCACAGCCAGCAUUAAGCAUUUGACACACAAGAACCUCAUCUCGAAGAUGGAAGAGAGACAGAAAUAUCAUAAAAAAAAGAAAGCGUUUUACCUUUUCGAGGGCAGCGAGCUGAGACGGGACAACAGCGAGAGGACGAACUUCUUCCACCACACAAAUCCAAAUCUCAAGAAGCUGACCACAAGAUGCGACCCAGACCCAAACAAAGACUCUAUCACGACUUAGGAUCUAGAGGUGUAUGAUUUCUCGGGUAUCAGAGUCUUUUCUCUCAAUCUUUUCCCCUCUAUUUUCUAACAAACGUUCAAAAAAUUUAAAACCUACCAAAAAAUAAAAAUGAAAAUCCCUCCCCCUGCUCCAUAGUGAUAAGAGCAAUUAUAUAGAAAAAGAAGGAUUCAGAAAAAUGGGGGGGGGGGGAAAACAAAAAUCUCGCAAACCAAGGCCCAAAUUCAAAAUUCAAAAUCAAAACUCUUUCACCAUUUUGGAGAGACACAUUUUCUUGCGAUUCCAACCCAUUCCGGAAGAGGAAGGGGUGAAUCGACGCCUUAGAUCGACUCACUUGUCCUUGAGGUGCUAUGUGUAUUGAUCUCACGAUGCAAGGACAAGGUGAAAGCAGUUUUGUCGAGCCGAGCCUGCUGCUGUCGUUGUUUUUUUCUGUUUUCGUCACUGUACUGCUG
rnacentral:lncRNA from 1 species